rnacentral:rRNA from 1 species
GACCCGUCUUGAAACACGGACCAAGGAGUCUAACAUGUGCGCGAGUCACUCGGUCUUGAAUAGGCCAGAGAGGCGCAAUGAAAGUAAAGUUGAUUGAGUUACGAUCCUCAUGCGGUCACUCACCUAGUGGGUGACGGUGAGGCGCAGUAACGGCCCACCAAUUUCGCUUAUUGACGAUCUGGUGGAGUUGUAGCGUACACGUUGGUACCCGAAAGAUGGUGAACUAUGCCUGGGCAAGACGAAGCCAGAGGAAACUCUGGUGGAGGUCUGUAGCGAUUCUGACGUGCAAAUCGAUCGUCAGACCUGGGUAUAGGGGCGAAAGACUAAUCGAACCAUCUAGUAGCUGGUUCCUUCCG